CAAGGAAUUUUGGGCAAUGGGCGAAAGCCUGACCCAGCAAUACCGCGUGAAGGAUGAAGAUUUUCGGAUUGUAAACUUCUUUUCUUGAGGAAGAAGAAUGACGGUACUCAAGGAAUAAGCCACGGCUAACUACGUGCCAGCAGCCGCGGUAAUACGUAGGUGGCGAGCGUUAUCCGGAUUUAUUGGGCGUAAAGAGAGCGUAGGCGGUUUAAUAAGUUGGAUGUGAAAUCUAUCGGCUUAACUGAUAGACUGCGUUCAAAACUGUUAGACUAGAGGAUAGCAGGGGCAAGCGGAAUUCCCGGAGUAGUGGUGGAAUGCAUAGAUACCGGGAGGAACACCAGAGGCGAAAGCGGCUUGCAAGGCUAUUUCUGACGCUGAGGCUCGAAAGCGUGGGGAGCAAACA
rnacentral:rRNA from 1 species